GACGAACGCUGGCGGCGUGCUUAACACAUGCAAGUCGAACGGAAAGGCCCUGCUUUUGUGGGGUGCUCGAGUGGCGAACGGGUGAGUAACACGUGAGUAACCUGCCCUUGACUUUGGGAUAACUUCAGGAAACUGGGGCUAAUACCGGAUAGGAGCUCCUGCUGCAUGGUGGGGGUUGGAAAGUUUCGGCGGUUGGGGAUGGACUCGCGGCUUAUCAGCUUGUUGGUGGGGUAGUGGCUUACGAAGGCUUUGACGGGUAGCCGGCCUGAGAGGGUGACCGGCCACAUUGGGACUGGGAUACGGCCCAGACUCCUACGGGAGGCAGCAGUGGGGAAUAUUGCACAAUGGCGGAAGCCUGAUGCAGCAACGCCGCGUGCGGGAUGACGGCCUUCGGGUUGUAAACCGCUUUCGCCUGUGACGAAGCGUGAGUGACGGUAAUGGGUAAAGAAGCACCGGCUAACUACGUG
rnacentral:rRNA from 1 species